AGAGUUUGAUCAUGGCUCAGAUUGAACGCUGGCGGCAGGCUUAACACAUGCAAGUCGAGCGGAGUUGUGGUGCUUGCACCAUAACUUAGCGGCGGACGGGUGAGUAAUGCUUAGGAAUCUGCCUAUUAGUGGGGGACAACAUCUCGAAAGGGAUGCUAAUACCGCAUACGCCCUACGGGGGAAAGCAGGGGAUCUUCGGACCUUGCGCUAAUAGAUGAGCCUAAGUCGGAUUAGCUAGUUGGUGGGGUAAAGGCCUACCAAGGCGACGAUCUGUAGCGGGUCUGAGAGGAUGAUCCGCCACACUGGGACUGAGACACGGCCCAGACUCCUACGGGAGGCAGCAGUGGGGAAUAUUGGACAAUGGGGGGAACCCUGAUCCAGCCAUGCCGCGUGUGUGAAGAAGGCCUUUUGGUUGUAAAGCACUUUAAGCGAGGAGGAGGCUACUCUAGUUAAUACCUAGGGACAGUGGACGUUACUCGCAGAAUAAGCACCGGCUAACUCUGUGCCAGCAGCCGCGGUAAUACAGAGGGUGCAAGCGUUAAUCGGAUUUACUGGGCGUAAAGCGUGCGUAGGUGGCCAAUUAAGUCAAAUGUGAAAUCCCCGAGCUUAACUUGGGAAUUGCAUUCGAUACUGGUUGGCUAGAGUAUGGGAGAGGAUGGUAGAAUUCCAGUGUAGCG
rnacentral:rRNA from 1 species